AUCGCUUCUCGGCCUUUUGGCUAAGAUCAAGUGUAGUAUAAAAUCAUUACAUAAAUUUGAAAGUGUU
rnacentral:snRNA from 1 species